rnacentral:rRNA from 1 species
AUUGAACGCUGGCGGCAGGCCUAACACAUGCAAGUCGAGCGGAUGAAGGGAGCUUGCUCCUGGAUUCAGCGGCGGACGGGUGAGUAAUGCCUAGGAAUCUGCCUGGUAGUGGGGGAUAACGUCCGGAAACGGGCGCUAAUACCGCAUACGUCCUGAGGGAGAAAGUGGGGGUUCUUCGGACCUCACGCUAUCAGAUGAGCCUAGGUCGGAUUAGCUAGUUGGUGGGGUAAAGGCCUACUAAGGCGACGAUCCGUAACUGGUCUGAGAGGAUGAUCAGCCACACUGGAACUGAGACACGGUCCAGACUCCUACGGGAGGCAGCAGUGGGGAAUAUUGGACAAUGGGCGAAAGCCUGAUCCAGCCAUGCCGCGUGUGUGAAGAAGGUCUUCGGAUUGUAAAGCGCUUUAAGUUGGGAGGAAGGGCAGUAAGUUAAUACCUUGCUGUUUUGACGUUACCAACAGAAUAAGCACCGGCUAACUACGUG